GUAUGUGAGGGCGAUCUGGCUGCGACAUCUGUCACCCCUUUGAUUGCCAGGGUUGAUUCGGCUGAUCUGGCUGGCUAGACGGGUGUCCCCUUCCUCCCUCACCACUCCAUGUGCAUCCCUCCCGAAGCUGCGCACUCGGUCAAAGAAGAUGGCCUUCCGGGCCGGUCUUCAGUCAAGGAUAUACAAGUAGCUGCGCUCCCCUGCUAGAACCUUCAAACAAGCUCUCAGAAAGACUGAAAGAGAAUUAGAGACAGAUACCAUAUUACCACUCCAACACUCUUAAAGCUUCCCCUUUUGCAUGGUGCUCCUAUGU
rnacentral:snRNA from 1 species